rnacentral:lncRNA from 1 species
AUCCUUACUGACGAUGGUGAUCAUUGGAGGUAUAAAUACUGAAGGAUACGUCAUUUACAGACAAGAUCUUUGAAGUUUAUUUCCUUCAGACAGCAGUGGAAGAAGAGGCUAAAAUCAAAACAUAACAGACAGAAAAAUAUAAAGACUAGAAGAAACAGCACUUCACUUUUUCUUUCCAAAAAUUCAGAGAACCACCAAAAUCUGGUGGAUUACCUCCACCGAUCUUCUGGAUUUGAGAUGUAA